GGUUAAGCGACUAAGCGUACACGGUGGAUGCCCUGGCAGUCAGAGGCGAUGAAGGACGUGCUAAUCUGCGAAAAGCGUCGGUAAGGUGAUAUGAACCGUUACAGCCGGCGAUGUCCGAAUGGGGAAACCCAGUGCAAUUCGUUGCACUAUCGUUAACUGAAUACAUAGGUUAACGAGGCGAACCGGGGGAACUGAAACAUCUAAGUACCCCGAGGAAAAGAAAUCAACCGAGAUUCCCCCAGUAGCGGCGAGCGAACGGGGAGCAGCCCAGAGUCUGAAUCAGCUUGUGUGUUAGUGGAACGGUCUGGAAAGUCCGACGGUACAGGGUGAUAGUCCCGUACACCAAAAUGCACAGGCUGUGAACUCGAAGAGUAGGGCGGGACACGUGGUAUCCUGUCUGAAUAUGGGGGGACCAUCCUCCAAGGCUAAAUACUCCUGACUGACCGAUAGUGAACCAGUACCGUGAGGGAAAGGCGAAAAGAACCCCGGCGAGGGGAGUGAAAAAGAACCUGAAACCGUGUACGUACAAGCAGUGGGAGCACCUUCGGGUGUGACUGCGUACCUUUGUAUAAUGGGUCAGCGACUUAUAUUCUGUAGCAAGGUUAACCGUAUAGGGGAGCCGCAGGAAAUCCGUGUCUUAACUGAGCGUUAUGUUGCAGGGUUUAGACCCGUAUCCCGGUGUUCUUGCCUUGGGCAGGUUGUAGGUUGGGUAACUCUUACUGGAGGACCGAUCCGACUAAUGUUGAAAAAUUAGCGGAUGACAUGAGGCUGGGGCGAAAGGCCAAUCAAACCGGGAGAUAGCUGGUUCUCCCCGAAAGCUAUUUAGGUAGCGCGCUCGUGAAUUCAUCUUCGGGGUAGAGCACUGUUUCGGCUAGGGGGUCAUCCCGACUUACCAACCCGAUGCAAACUACGAAUACCGAAGAAUGUUAUCACGGGAGACACACGGCGGGUGCUAACGUCCGUCGUGAAGAGGGAAACAACCCAGACCGCCAGCUAAGGUCCCAAAGUCAUGGUUAAGUGGGAAACGAUGUGGGAAGGCACAGACAGCCAGGAUGUUGGCUUAGAAGCAGCCAUCAUUUAAAGAAAGCGUAAUAGCUCACUGGUCGAGUCGGCCUGCGCGGAAGAUGUAACGGGGCUAAACCAUGCACCGAAGCUGCGGCAGCGACACUAUGUGUUGUUGGGUAGGGGAGCGUUCUGUAAGCCUGCGAAGGUGUGCUGUGAGGCAUGCUGGAGGUAUCAGAAGUGCGAAUGCUGACAUAAGUAACGAUAAAGCGGGUGAAAAGCCCGCUCGCCGGAAGACCAAGGGUUCCUGUCCAACGUUAAUCGGGGCAGGGUGAGUCGACCCCUAAGGCGAGGCCGAAAGGCGUAGUCGAUGGGAAACAGGUUAAUAUUCCUGUACUUGGUGUUACUGCGAAGGGGGGACGGAGAAGGCUAUGUUAGCCGGGCGACGGUUGUCCCGGUUUAAGCAUGUAGGCUGGUUGUCCAGGCAAAUCCGGAUAAUCAAGGCUGAGGUGUGAUGACGAGGCACUACGGUGCUGAAGUAACAAAUGCCCUGCUUCCAGGAAAAGCCUCUAAGCAUCAGGUAACAUCAAAUCGUACCCCAAACCGACACAGGUGGUCAGGUAGAGAAUACCAAGGCGCUUGAGAGAACUCGGGUGAAGGAACUAGGCAAAAUGGUGCCGUAACUUCGGGAGAAGGCACGCUGGUGUGUAGGUGAAGUCCCUGCGGAUGGAGCUGAGACCAGUCGAAGAUACCAGCUGGCUGCAACUGUUUAUUAAAAACACAGCACUGUGCAAACACGAAAGUGGACGUAUACGGUGUGACGCCUGCCCGGUGCCGGAAGGUUAAUUGAUGGGGUUAUCCGUAAGGAGAAGCUCUUGAUCGAAGCCCCGGUAAACGGCGGCCGUAACUAUAACGGUCCUAAGGUAGCGAAAUUCCUUGUCGGGUAAGUUCCGACCUGCACGAAUGGCGUAAUGAUGGCCAGGCUGUCUCCACCCGAGACUCAGUGAAAUUGAACUCGCUGUGAAGAUGCAGUGUACCCGCGGCAAGACGGAAAGACCCCGUGAACCUUUACUAUAGCUUGACACUGAACAUUGAGCCUUGAUGUGUAGGAUAGGUGGGAGGCUUUGAAGCGUGGACGCCAGUCUGCGUGGAGCCAACCUUGAAAUACCACCCUUUAAUGUUUGAUGUUCUAACGUUGGCCCCUUACCGGGGUUGCGGACAGUGUCUGGUGGGUAGUUUGACUGGGGCGGUCUCCUCCCAAAGCGUAACGGAGGAGCACGAAGGUUAGCUAAUCCUGGUCGGACAUCAGGAGGUUAGUGCAAUGGCAUAAGCGUGCUUGACUGCGAGCGUGACGGCGCGAGCAGGUGCGAAAGCAGGUCAUAGUGAUCCGGUGGUUCUGAAUGGAAGGGCCAUCGCUCAACGGAUAAAAGGUACUCCGGGGAUAACAGGCUGAUACCGCCCAAGAGUUCAUAUCGACGGCGGUGUUUGGCACCUCGAUGUCGGCUCAUCACAUCCUGGGGCUGAAGUAGGUCCCAAGGGUAUGGCUGUUCGCCAUUUAAAGUGGUACGCGAGCUGGGUUUAGAACGUCGUGAGACAGUUCGGUCCCUAUCUGCCGUGGGCGCUGGAGAAUUGAGGGGGGCUGCUCCUAGUACGAGAGGACCGGAGUGGACGCAUCACUGGUGUUCGGGUUGUCAUGCCAAUGGCACUGCCCGGUAGCUAAAUGCGGAAGAGAUAAGUGCUGAAAGCAUCUAAGCACGAAACUUGCCCCGAGAUGAGUUCUCCCUGAGACUUUAAGUCUCCUGAAGGAACGUUGAAGACGACGACGUUGAUAGGCCGGGUGUGUAAGCGCAGCGAUGCGUUGAGCUAACCGGUACUAAUGAACCGUGAGGCUUAACCUU
rnacentral:rRNA from 1 species